rnacentral:rRNA from 1 species
UUGAACGCUGGCGGCAGGCCUAACCCAUGCCAGUCGAACGGUAACAGGAAGAAGCUUGCUUCUUUGCUGACGCGUGGCGGACGGGUGAGUAAUGUCUGGGAAACUGCCUGAUGGAGGGGGAUAACUACUGGAAACGGUAGCUAAUACCGCAUAACGUCGCAAGACCAAAAAGGGGGACCUUCGGGCCUCUUGCCAUCGGAUGUGCCCAGAUGGGAUUAGCUAGUAGGUGGGGUAACGGCUCACCUAGGCGACGAUCCCUAGCUGGUCUGAGAGGAUGACCAGCCACACUGGAACUGAGACACGGUCCAGACUCCUACGGGAGGCAGCAGUGGGGAAUAUUGCACAAUGGGCGCAAGCCUGAUGCAGCCAUGCCGCGUGUAUGAAGAAGGCCUUCGGGUUGUAAAGUACUUUCAGCGGGGAGGAAGGGAGUAAAGUUAAUACCUUUGCUCAUUGACGUUACCCGCAGAAGAAGCACCGGCUAACUCCGUG